UCAAAUCUUGCAGUCUCUAUUGGUGUUAUCUCUUAAGAUGAAUAUGAAAAAAGAUUUUAAACUCAUUUUAGUUCCUGAUUUUCAGGCUUAGUUUCUUUUACUUCCUUUCUCCACUUGCUCUCUAAGACUCUCUGCUAAGUAUUAUUACUUUUUGAAGUUCUUUUUUACUAUGUCCCUGCUUAUUUGAUCAAGUUCACCAUAUUUGUAUUCUCUGAUCUCUGAAAUUGAUAUGCAAUUCAGUCUUUGUAGUUAUCCCCCACUGACCCUUAAAAUAGAAAGGGCAGGAAGUUCUUUAGCUUAGGGCUUGUAGAUUUUGAUCCAUAUGGUCAUUGAAUCCUUUUCAAGCAUAAACUAUCACUGGUUCAUCAUCUACGGUUUUGACGGUGGAUGGAGAAAGGAGGAGAGUAAGAGAACUUGGUAGUGUGCGGCUUAGUCUCUUGAGCUGCACUAGUCACACAUAUAUUAUAGAGAUACAAAUGGAAAGUACCCCUGUAUGUAACAAAUCUACAUGUAUCUAUAUUAUAUCAUUAUUAAAUAAUGUAUCCCAUUUGUGGUCAUAAUUUUUACUCCAGUGUAGUUCCAACCCAC
rnacentral:lncRNA from 1 species